rnacentral:lncRNA from 1 species
GUGGAGGCUCCCGGGCAGGUCCCGGCCCAGGUCCCUGACGAGUGGACGUUGUUCUGGACCCAGGGACUCCGGCUUUUCCCCAUAUCCCCGGACCAGAGCCGGCGCACAGCACUCGGGCUGGGGCUGCGCUGGGCCAGGAGGCGACGCGUCCCCCCGCGGGACCGGUAGGACGCACGUGGCCUCCCUGUGAGGACCCAGGCCAGCGCCAGGGCCCUCCCCAGUCGCUCAGCUUGGGUCUCCAGGCCUCUGCCCUCCCUCCUAGGGCCGGCAGGGGCAGGCUAUGGGCAUGGGCGACACCUCCCCAGAAAGCUCCUCCUUGCUUCAGAGGCUCUGCCUGUGCGGCCCGGGAGGGGGGAGGGGCGAUGCACCCCAACACCAAGCACCAAUGCGGGAGACCAGAGCAGCCACCCAGAGGCUUCCUCGGGCACAUGGAGCGUCAGGGGUGGCUCUUCGCAGGAGCUGUGAGGUGGACUAGCUCUGACGAGUGUCCCCACUGGAGACCAGCUGCCCCUGAUGCUUCUUCCCGGGGCCUCCUGCUCCGCCUCCCACCGGUCACCUCCACCAGCAGCCCGGCCACAAACCUGCAUGGCACACUGGUCCUCUCUGCGGCUGGGCGUGCUCUGCAAGGCACCAGCGUCUGGCUGUUUGAGUCUUACAGUUUUGAGGGCCUCUUGUCCAGAAGUGAACCCUUGUGUCUGCCUGUGCACCAGGCACAGGAGACACAGAAGAGAUUCACAGAAAGAAUCGCUCAGCUUUGGCGGCAACAAGUCCCACCAUCUGCCCUGCACAAGCUGCAGUCCCAGGACAGCCUGAGGGUCUCAUGAUGUAGUCCAGCCUGGCAAUGAACUCUCUGCAAUCCUCCUGCCUCACCCUCCUGAGUGCUGAGGUUACAGGCGUGUGCCACCACGUCCAGCUGGACAGCUACUUUAAAAACAGCAUUUCCACUGAAUGGAGGGGAGGACACUCAGCUUUCCUUGGCAUGGCAGCUUCUAGCUCUGACACCUGGAACCUCCUCUUGAGGACACUGAAGUGGGAUUUUGGGGGAUGCCUGAUGCGCUGGUGCAGUGCUCCUGGAGUUCCCCACAGCUCCGGCUAGACCAGGGGUCACCCGCUCAAUGGCAGACAAGGAGGAAGCCACCUCCCAGUCCCAGCUUAUGCACCCCGGCUUAAGACAUCCCUCGGUGCCACCCCAGGUCCUGGCCAACAGGAAAACCCGAGUGGCCGGGAUGCAGAAGGGACAGGAAGGGCUCCACUUAGGACUGCAGGGGAAACACCAGAACUGCACAGUGUUUGCAAGAUGCCCUGGCCAGGUGCACUCCCUCCCAGGCUGCAGGGUCCAGCUUUGUCAGCUAUCUGGCAAACAAGGUGUGAUCUAGAUACGCAGAGAACGUUCAAAUUUUUUAAAUUUACUAUAGUAACACAUGGCCAUGUGUCUUCCCCACAACACAACCACUUACUUCAAACACACUCAUCCCAUCAUCCUGGCCACUUCCUGCAGCAGCUCUGGAGCCCUCUCUCCUGAGUGUCUUUAGUUGCAAUGCUCUGGCUGCCUCAACGUCCUGAAUGGAUUCAAAACAUUUCCUUUUCAUGGUCAUUUUGACUUUGGGGAAGAGCCAGAAGUCGCAUGGUGCCAGAUCCCAUGGACAGGUGGCUGAGGACACAGCGUCAAUUUUUUAUGAGCUACCUUUCUGUUGGAUGGCACCAGGCAGCAGUAUUCACCACAUUUUUUUUUAUUGUGCCUCGUAAAGACAUAGCAGGGGAAGAGGACAAAAUUCAUCAAUGUCAAUAUCAAUCCGUGUGGUCCCCAACUAAACUUUUCAGCUCAUCAUCUGUCAGCAUCGUGAUGUGCAGAGAAGACACAUCCAGCAGCCUUGGAGUCUGGGGUUUGGAUCUUUUCCCUGCUGGCGGCAGAAAGGACACUCCCCCGUCUGGAAGCUGGUGACCGUAGUGACCACAAUGAGGAGGGAUGUGGUGUGUGGUCCGCCUGGGCUCUGCUGCUGAGCCAGGAUGUGGGCGGGCGGGUGGACAGGCUGAGUGUGUUCUUGACUUGUGACAUUUUCAAGGCACAGUGAGCUUACGGGGCUGGGACCCGCGGCCCACGCAGGAGCGCCUGUGUGUGUUGCUCAAUACACUGCAGGGGCUGCAGGGUGGACACAGUGUUCAGGGAGACCAUGAGCCUGCUGGGAUUUCUGACUGCCUAGGAUCUCUGACUCCCACACUUUCCAAAUGGCUGGGACUGGGUCCCGAUGUCUGCUGGAUGCAAUUGAAAAUGGUAAAGAACGGGCUUGAUUCCCUAUGUGAAUGAUUAUGUGUGCGGUAGAAGUGUUUAAAUCGCAGGUUUUAAGGGCUGAGGUUGUAGCUAGCAGUCCAGUGCUUGCCCUGGGUUCAGUCCCCAGGAGCGGGGGCUGGCCUGGAUUAGCACCUGCCCCCCCCAAAACAGACCCGAAGGUGGAGCUCUCAGCCCUGGCACCAGAGCACACACCAGGCCUCUCAAGUCUCAGGGACACCUGGCCACACCCUGGCCACUCGGGUCAGCAUCCAGGGGCCACCAGGGCAUCGAGAGGGCUCUAAGCUCCCAGGUGAGCCACACCAGGGAGCAACCAUGUGUUUGGGCUGUGUCACCAUGUAGAUUGAUGGCCCACAAAUGUAACUUCUAUCUUGAAAUGGACCCCAGAAGCCGGGAAUGCUGGCGCACUCCUGUAAGUCCAGUAUAUAAGAGGCUGAGACAGGAGGAUAGCCUCAAGUUUGAGGCCAGCCUGGGCAACUUGGUGAGUUCAAGGCCAGCCUGAACUGCAUAGUGAGACCCUGUCUCAAUAGAAAAGAAAAGAAUCAGAAAAAGGGAAAGGAAAUAAAAACAAUAGCACGUUGCUGAUUUACUGACAUUGAGAAGCCACCAGCACCCGAGUGUUCCCUGCCUGGCCAGUGACUCAAAGCCUCUCCGCCCCUGGAUAGAGACGAUGCCUCCCUCCGUUACAGGAAUGUAAAUCCAUAGAGAAUCUAACAAC